rnacentral:misc_RNA from 1 species
UACGGAGGGUGCAAGCGUUGUCCGGAUUUAUUGGGUUUAAAGGGUGCGUAGGCGGCCCGUUAAGUCAGCGGUGAAAUCCCAGGGCUCAACCCUGGAACUGCCGUUGAUACUGACGGGCUUGAGUUCGGUCGAGGCGGGCGGAACUGGUGGUGUAGCGGUGAAAUGCAUAGAUACCACCAAGAACCCCGAUUGCGUAGGCAGCUCGCUAGGCCGAAACUGACGCUGAGGCACGAAAGCGUGGGGAGCGAACAGG